AUCAUCUUGUUCUCCUCUUGCACAAUUCUCGCCUCACCGUGCGCAACGCUAAUAGACGUGUAUGUACACCGCCUGCCUGCCCCAGCGCCUCAGUGUCAGCGGUGAACGCAUUACAUAGACGUCUUCUUUUCUCACAUUCUUUGCUUUCCAUACUGUCUCCCUAGCCUCUCUCGCGCGCGAUGCCGCCCAAGGGUUUCAAGAGCAACGUCUCCCCGGAGGAGGUGAUUGCGGCCCGAAGGGAAAAGCUCGAGUUUCUGUCUCAGCAGUGCGCAGCAGUGGAAAAGAUGCUGUCCAUUUGUACGGACCAGGGCCUCCGCCUCAACGCGGAGAUCGCCGAGCUCGAGCGCCGCAUCGCCGAGACCGAGGUGAUGACAGAGCAGGAGAGCCGUGACUUGGAUGUGAAGCUAAAGAUUGUCACGAACUAUGCCACAUCGAAUCUCGACCAACUCCAGCAGCGUCGCCUGAAUAUGGAGAAGACAGCGCACGAGGCGGAGGCGGAGAAUGAGGCGCUGCGUGUGAAGAUAGCGGAGCUGACUGAGCGCAGAGAGGCCGAGAUCGCGCAGUGGGAAGCGAAGGCAGAGGAGCAGCGGGCGCUCAUGAACCAAAAGGCACUGGACUUUGGUAUGCAGCUGAAGGAGACGUUGGCCAGAAGGUACGCAACGGUGUAGCGAGCCGUACUGAUGCUGAUUAUCAGUAUUCGACGAAGCCUGAGCUGCGCGCGCUUCUUGUGUUCGGUGGUUGCUGCCACUCAUUUCUUUUUUGUUGUUGUCCCCUUCCCCUUUCUCCCCGCUCCUCUCGCGCGUAUAUGCGCUUCCCAUUCCGUUGAACAUUUGCAUCUGUGCGUGGUCACGGGAAAGGGAAAGCGUCGGCGCACAUCAGUGUUGGCCGUCAUGUAAACCACUUAAUCUUGUGUGCUGCUGCUUAUGUGUUGGCGUAUCCAUCAUGGCGUUUGUCUAUGUGUGCCAUGUACCAUUUUCGUUCUCUCCCAGAUGUCCACAGCGAUGACCAUGGUUUCUGUCGAUGUCGUCAGCACGUGUGUGUGUGUGUGGGGGGGGGGCAUUAUCACCACACUUAGCAUGUGGUGGAGUGACCCAGCCCUGUCUGCGUUACUGCCGGCACUCUGAGAGAAAAAGGGGGGGGGCAAUGCUUCUCAGGUAGCAGGCCUCAUCCAACUCUUUAUCAACUUUCGAUGCUCCUGGAUUGGCAGCCGUACAGUGGUGGUAGUGUUGCACGACCGUGCCGUUAUCUCUCGUCCCUUUAUUUUUUUUUCCAUUCACACCGAUGUGCACCUCCUCCCUUUAUCUCCGCCCUUUCACCGCGCAUGGCCCACGAAUACACACAUAUAUACACAAAAACACCACUGCAUAUGACUGCUGGUGACUGCCCACAG
rnacentral:misc_RNA from 1 species